UUCAGUACAUUUGGAGAGCUGAAGACAGUUCGUCUGUCAAAGACAGUGAUUGGUGGAGCCCACCGUGGUUUUGGCUUUACUGACUUCCUCACUAAACAGGAUGCCAAGAAAGCCUUUGAAGCACUGUGCCACAGUACCCAUCUUUAUGGCUGGAAGCUGGUGUUGAAGUGAGCAGACGCAGAGGAGACUGUGGCCAAUCUGCGACUGAAAACUGCUCAACACUUCCACAUGCUCCUAUGAAUCAUAAGAAGGUGGAGGUGUUAGAUGCUUGAAGCAGAUGGAGUUCAGGGAAGAAGACAUGAAUGAACAGCAGCUGUCAGUCACUACAACAUCAAUAAGACAGUAAAUCAUCCAGUGGAACUCAUUUUUCUCUAUUAUGACUCUGUCUUAAGCAGCUGCUUUGCAGUCUGUUCAGGAAUCCUUCCUUUUGGCCUCAGAUGCUCCCAAUUAGCUUUUUAUUAGAUACUCAUACAUCAUCCCUGUUAUUGCUGUCAAUGAAUUAAACACAGCGUUUCUCUACAGACCAGCUCCGGUUGAAGGUGAAGUCAACGACUGAGUCCUCUGAAAAGAUGCCCAAAGGCCACGUUUCCUUUAGCUGUUUUUAAAUAGUCAUGGAGGGCCAAGCCAUUUCGUACUCUGCUGCGUCAUGGGUGACUUUGAAGAAUCACAAUGUUAUUGAUGCAAAACAAUAUUUGAAAGCAGAAACUCUAAAUAAAAAGUACAUUUCUGAUGUUGCUUUUAACAUCUUUUAUCAACAUCAAGUAUGUCUGUUGUCUUAAAAUGACAGUUUUGUCAUCAUUUACUCAUCUUCAUGUUUCAAACCAGUAUGACUUUAGAGGUUUGGCAGAAUGUAAGUCUCAGUCACCAUUCACUUUCAUUGCAUCUUUUUUCCGUACAAUAAAAGUGAAUGGUGGUCAUUCUACCUAACGUCGCCUUUUGUGUUCAAUGGAAGAAAGUAAAUACAGGAUUGAAACAACAUGAGUAAAUUACAAAAUAUUAAUUUGGGAUGAAAUCUACCUUUACAUAAGAAUUGUACACUUUCUUUUUGUACACCUAUUUGUGUUCAACAAAUGACAAGUCCUUUCACAUUGUUGGGAUCAUACUGUAUUUAUUGAAGUGACAAUAAAUAGUUUUGUCUGUUAAAGAAAUUGUUCCUAUUUUAGGUUGUAUUCAUACUAGAAAUGUCACAUUUUAAAAUCUGCUAUUUGUACAGUUAAGAGGUCAAAACAGUCUUGGUCUACACAGAGAUGCCUUACACACCACAUAAUGUACAUUAUAGUGUACUGCAUCACAAGGGUUUUGCAAGGAGAAGGGCAUGACAUCAUUGUAAUGUUGCUUCUAUAGACUAGCCUGUUAUGUCAUCUGUCAUCAUAUUCUUCUAAUUUGCUCUUUCAAUCAUUUCCUGAUUUAUUAAAGGGAUAUUACACCCAAAAAUGAAAAUUCUGUCAUGUACGCAAUCACUUUUGUUCCGAACCCAUAUUUCUUUAUUCCAUAUAACGUCAUUUUUUUCAAAUUUGUCAUGUGACAAAUAAGGACAAGGCAAGUUUGAAAAUGUGGAACUGUGAUUUAAAUUUUAGAGCUACAGAGGAGGGGAAGAUUAUCAGUGAAUAAUGUCUUAAAUUUUAAUUUUCUUAAAUAAUAUCUGUUCCUCACACAAAGCAGUUGUAUGGACUACUUUUAUGGUGAUUUUUGGAACUCGACAGGCUGUGGUCACUAUAUACUUUCAUUACAUGGAAAAGAGCAUUCCGGAGGUUCUUCAAAUAGUUUGCUAUGAAAGAAAGUCAUACAGGUUUGGAACGACAAGAGAGUGAGUAAUAAUGGUGAGCUAUCCCUUUUAAGCAUUUUAAACACAUUGUCUCUUCUGCGAGUCCAUCACAGCUAAUGCGGCCAACAAAACAUUUGUGCAGCCAAAUGCAAUCAUUUAUAUAAACUUCCUUUAUUUUUUAACCCAGUAUAAACAGAGAACCUUAGAGGGGAAAAAAACAGUAUGGAUCAAUAAAUGGAUAUCUGAUAAAGCCAAGAAGUUUGGUGGAAAUCACCGGUUUCAAGAAAGACCGUUCUGGCUAUGGUACACAAACCAAUGCACACAUCUUCAGAAAUGGACGACUGAAUUGUAUCAUUAAUCAAAAGGAUGUCAUUACCAAAUGAAUUGAGAUGGAAAUGAAUACAACCACAUGCAGAGCCACGUUAAGCUUAUAAACAUCAAUUCUUUAGAUAAAACGGAUGAGUUUGUGGGAAACUUUGAUGUCCACUUAAAUAUAAAUUAUCUGGAAUAUACAAAAAGCAUUUACAUGUACAUUUGUUUAGAGCUCCACAUGUUCUUAAGUAGUAUGUCUACUAGCCUAUUUGCCUCUCAAUAUAUGUCAAGCUACUUUACCGCUGUCCCACAUGGCAUUUAAACAAAUGCAGAAACUGUAGCCGCUACAUUAGAGGUCACACACACACACACACACACACACACACACGCUAACACACUGUAUUGCCUUGAAACAAUGAAUAACAGCAUAAGGCUGUUAUAAUAUGGAACAUGGAAGAAAUAAACUCACACCGGCAACCCAAACCCCAAUCCGAAACCCUGUUUUGAUGUGACCAGGGUCCAAAAUUAACUUUUUGCUAUACAUGUCAUUGCCAAUGACAAGUAAUUUGACACAUUUUAUUUUUCAUUAUUUUUAUUUAAAAAAAUGAUAUUGUCUUUAUACUUUUUGCUCAAUGACAGAAUUAUUGGGUGAACAUUUAAUAUGAGGAAUAGAACUUUUCCACAUACUGUAUGUCACCCCAUGGAGUUCAAGAAAUGCAAGUAGUGGCAAAUGUUUUCCAUAGUAUAUGGGUUGAUUUGAUAAUGAGCUAAAUCAUUAUGGCAAGCCGAAUUGACAUUUAAUCACUUGCAGAAUUGUGACAAGCCGAAUUGACUUUUAAUCACAUGCAGGAUAUUAAUUUUAGAUAUCAACUAUUCAAUUUUCACUAGUAAAAAUGCUAAUUCUUGAGACACUAGAAAUGUCUUAUAUCAGUAAUUACAUAAUAAAAUGGUUAUUCUUGAUAAAGAAAAUUACAUCACCAAGAAAUGCUCAUUCUUGACAUCAAAAAUAUAAUUUCAACUAGUAAAAAGCUAUUACUUAUAUCUGUUACUGCAUUUUCACUAGUAGAACUUCACUCAUGUUCAAAUGCAGUUACAGAUAUUAAAUUAUUGUUCAAAUUCCAAAAUACACAUAUCAGCUAUGUAUUUCCUACUAGUAAAAAUGAUAAUGUUUGAUAGCAAUAAUUACAUUGCUUCAAGUGAAAAUGUGCAUGCCUUAUAUGAACAGAUUAAUUACAUCUAGUAAAUAUGCAGAUAUAAAUUAUUGCAGAUAUCAAAAAAUAGGAUGUUCAAUUCCUGUAAUUCAGUUCUUGACAUCAGGAAUGGAUAUUUGUACUUGUAAGAAUGUAAUUAUUGACAUAAAAAAAUGACAUUUUUACUAGUGCAAACCUAAUUACAAAUCCAAAAUUAGCAUUUACACUAGCAGUAAUUCUAUUCAUGAUAACAAGAAUUAGCAUUGAAUCUUGUUAAAAUUAGGUUAUAGAUAUCUAUAAUUCAUAUCCUGCAUGUGAUUAUACAGUAUGUUGAAAGGACUUGCGAUAAUCUCAGCAAGGGUGUAUUAUGUUGCAUUUAUUAAACCAUAUUUUAUGUUCCUAAUAAAGUUAACAGCCAGCUCUUGAGGAUCUCUUUUUUUUUUUACUCAUCAAAGCCAAUAUUUACUCAUAUUUAGCACUUGCCAAGAGUUAUUUUGGACCCUGGACUUGACGAUGACCCCAGCCUUCUGCUCGACGCAGUCAUAAUAACUAACCACUCACAGUCCUGGCGUCCAGCACUUACCUAGGUAACGCUAAUAAAUAUGUAUUAAGGCUUUUUCAGGACCUGAGGAUUUCAAAACACACAAUGAGGCACACAAAAGGCAAAGAACAGGUCUAAAUGCGAUACAUAACAACAGAGAAGCAGAGAAUGACGGAAAAGUAGAGCCACAUGAACGCCCAGUUUCCAGUACAAAAUAAAUCAUCAAAGUUUGCUGCUGACCAGUAAGAAUGGAGGUGACAAAGACACCAAGCACGGACCUUCAAAGAUGCCCAUCUUGGCCUUGUAGCAGCAGUUCCAGCAGUUCAGAGUUCUUGGUCAGUGUUUGCGUAUAUUUUUUUGUUUGUUCACUUUCUUUCUGACGUGAUUUCAGUGCAAGUAUUCUCAUGUCGUAAACAGUAGUUAGUCCUUGGAGAGUCUUUGCUUGGAGAAGGACCUCAGAAGACCGUCACCACAAAUUAUGAUGAUUAGUUUGUUUUCAGUCAAAUAUGUCUUGCUCUAAAUGAUUAAGGUUCACACAUCUGCAUUCUCAUUCAAAACAUUGUACAUGACAUGCAUCUAAAGCAGUUCCUACACACCCCGCCUACAAUUAAAGA